CUACUCUGGUUUUUCUUCAGAUCAAAUCUUUCGCAUUUUACUAAAGAUUUCUGUGGAGAGGAACAUUUAUGAGUUUCAACUCAUUUUUUGAUGCCCUGCUUCGGCGGGGCU